ACAAACGGACGGUCGCUGUUAGCUGGGAAGGAAACUGCUGGUGCUCGGAACAUCAACUGGUAUGCGCGGCCUGACAUCCUUCCGUACGGUGAUAAUUCCGCACGACUGUAUCGUAAGGCAGAUUUAGUCUUCCUGUUACCACCACUGAACACGGCCGCGAUUCUGGAGAAAUCAAAUCCCGUGAAGUUUGCUCCAUGCCAGGCGUGUUGCUGAUGAUGGCACAGACAGAAGCCACAGAGGGGUUUGCACUGAGCAGCCCCUUCGACUCUACUCACUUCUUUGUUUCAGGACAACCACCGUGCGCCCACACCUGCAAAUUCCAGGCUGACAACAAGGACCACAGCAGAACAACCCUCCAAACGGGCAUUUCAGGGUCUGUGAACAACUCUCAAGAACGAAGGCAGUACAGACUAAAAGCUGCCCCUCCAAGAACACAGCAAAGGGCGCUGGGGUCAGAAUAGCUGUGUUGGAGCCGGAGCUCUCGGGCUUUGCAGCAGCUCCUUUCCCUUCUCUGCACCUCCGUGCUGUCCUCCCGUGUUCCUGCUCCAGAGGGCGCGGAUUUCACACGGGUGCAAUCAUUUUGUGGGGGCUGCAAUCUGUUUCCUCUUUAUUUGACCUACUCUGGCACAGCCCUCGGUGGUGACAACAGCACUGAUACAGAACAGGACCUGCCCGGGACGCCGACUCCUCCUGCGCACGGGCCGCAGGUAUGCACUAUCUCAGUUAUGUCAACGUCGAGGAAAGCACAUUGCUUUGCCCGUGCAGUCUAAAGAAAGCAACGGCGUGGGGACAGGAAGGCUGCGUAAAUCACGAGGCUGUCGGGCUGGGAGCCCCUCGCUAAAGGCUCGCACAAUGGGGCCCCAGCGCAGCCGAAGCCGCCGGGCUUUCCCACAAUACAAACAGCCACCAUGCAGCGUCUGGCAGGCAUUUUGUAACUUAGAAAAUGAUUUAGAAAGGCUUUGCCUCCUUUUUCCUUUUUUUUUUUUUUUUUUUUUUAAAUGUGUCAAUAGAAAACAAAUAUGAGGACAGUUCGGAGUACAAUUAGGGCUUCGCCCCACCCAGCUGCAGCUGCUCCCAGCUGAGAUCCAUAAAUUCUGGGGGAAGAGCAAAUUACGGACAAACACCAGUUAUGCCAACACACGAAGGGAAAGGAAUCUCCGGUGCUGCUGCCCUGGGAGGAGGGAGCUUUCCCCCAUGGACACCCACGGCAGCAAGCUCAAACCUUCCCUGGGCAUGGACUCAGACCUCAAGAUCCAACCCAACAACGUUUUUUGUUCAGUGGCUGAGAUCGGCUUGCACACGAGUCACGAUUUUCCCAUUUCCCCAGCUUAGCAGUUAAUUUUGGCAGGAUUUCUGCAAACCGGAUUGCAGGGUCUUGGGAUAACGGGCCUCAGAGUCCCAGUCAGGGAAGAAGUCUUGUGUCUGACAAGCGAGGACAGUGCUCGACUCUGAGGGCCAGUGACUGACUUAGAUGGAAAAUUUCACUGCGCAGCCUCAAUAUCCUCAAGUCAAGCUCCAGUUGCAAGAGCCAAGCACAAGGAAACAGAUAAACAGGUACAGAUACACAAGGAUUAUCCAACCGCCUGUGAAUUUCUUGUGGAAGAUAACAGCACAUACAAAUAAGCUUUCUAUUCACAGGAGUGUUUUCAAAUUAAUUGGAAAUAGAUAAAAAUCAACGUCCUGCGCUCUGCCGCAGUGAUUUCUUCACACAAAAUCCAUUAUUUGUGGGAGGAAAAAAAAACUAAGGAAACCGUGGUGUGAAGUGAACUUCCUUUUUCCACUGUGCUCAUACGCAGUCAGUGAAUAGCUCCCAAGUUUACAGAGCGGCUCACAGAACUCUCAAAGGCCCGUCGGAGGCAAUACGGGCUUUUCUUCGUCUGUAUUUCAGAGACAAAAGCGCCCGCUGUCACUUCAGCAGACGUUAUUUUCCUUUUAAACCAAGACACGUAUGCGAGCAGCACUGGUUUUCUAGGAAGCACACCCCAAGAUCACCCCGAUAGGAAUCAUCAUCUCUGGUAAGGGAAAGCAUGGUGCAGGAACCCCCGGAGUUCCUGUCUGGGGCACGUUACCUGACUGCAAUCUAUUUCUGUUCCAGCCCGUGGUUUGACAUGAAAUUUAUUCCGUCUAUAUUACAGUAACUGGUUCUAAAAGUUUUUUUUAUUCCUCAUUAUUUGCUUCUUUCUCUAGAAAGAGAGAAGAGGGAUAAGGGGAAUAAAUAAGGGGGAGGCCAGAAGAAGGGAGCUGGCCGGGCGGUGGGAGAGCCGACCUGGGUUCCUGCUUUGCCCCAGCCCCUGGUGAGCUGCAGCGAGCCACCGGGACCGGACUCACAGCAGGACCCCGGCUCCUCUCCUGCCAUCUGCACGUGUCCCAGCCAAACCCCGAAGUGCCUCGCAUCCCAGGCCUUCUCUAGCAAAAUUUGCCAGCUGAUGGAGCCCUGCUGUCAGAUAUUCUCUGUAGCGCUUUGUUUUCUUCCUGAUGUGACGACACGCAAGCUUCUACGCAGAUCUGUACCCAAGAGUUUAACCCGAAGCAAAGCGAGUGGCAGGGCCCCUGUGUAACGGUGACAGCAGAACUUGCUGAUGCUCCCUCGUAACGCAGCGACUUCACAGGUGGAGUACAUGUUAAGGAGAUUUGGGUACAAUGCAAGUCUCCUUAAAAUGGUUCGGGCUUACCCCUGAGGUGAGCGAGGCUGUGACCUGGCAUCAGGCUUCCUGAACUCACCUUAUGCUGCAAGCCACGAAGAGCCCAGAAGAGCCACGAUCUAAAAGCAAGGGCACCCCGCAGAGACCCCCAGGCUAGGGAAGGAACCAACGCCGGCGAGCCUGAGACAGGCAAGUGCCUUGUUCCCAUCCCUUCCCAGCUGCGUUUAAAAAGGAAGUGGGGACUCUGCCCUGGUUUUUAAGGGAAAAGGCUUUCCUCAGAGUGUCACUCUGCAAGGCACCAAAGCGCUUGGCCCAGCUUUACAAAGGCAGACCCUGCACAGCUGCCACAGCUCCUGCUCGGCAGCACGUCCCCUCCCCGACACGCGCUGCCAGCCCUCGCAGGGCCACGCGCUGCCCCUCCAGCGGUGCCAGCACCACGUCCACAGCCUUCUGUGGAAUAGGGAGGGACAAAUCCAGCGAAAAACGUAAUCCCAAAGGCCACUCAGCACCAGUGAGAACGGGGAAACUGUUUAUGGCAGUGCUUCUGCUGGGAAGACGCACAAGGCCCACCGAAGUUAGCAGGGUCGACCUCCUCCUGCGUGAGCCCGAGUGAGGGAGCCCCUCAGGGACGCCGGGAUUUCCAGGAACGUGGCUGCCCUCCUCUCCUCCCAUUGUGGAGCUGUGAGUGGAGGUGAGGGCAGGGCUGAGGGGAAGCGAUUCCCCGCAGCUCUCACGCAGCCCCACCCACAGCAGACAGGGAAAGGCCUCAGUUUAGGUCCCGCCGCACACAGAGCAGACAGACGUUGACUUCGAUGCGACCCCGUCCGCAGGCGAGGCUCAGCCACACACGGGCAGAACCGCAGAGGCUCCGGCGGAAGCACGAGGACGCGCGUUCAGGGCACGAGCCCGUUCCUCCGACUGCCGCCUGCUCAAACCGGCCUCGCAUAAAGGACCGGGGCUGCAGACGACAGUACGACAUCGGCUGGCCCGGGAUAGAAAAGAACCAGCUCCCUGAGCUCCACCGCGGCUGCCUGGCGACACAACGGCUCUGGGUCUGCAAAGGGAGUGAGCAGGGAGCUCACUGCCAGGGUGGGUACCAUUGGAAAACAAAUCCAUGUCCUGCCUGUCUUGAAACUUGUCUCCAGUACUGCAGGGUGAGAUUACUGUACUCAGCUUGGUGUUUCCCACGCCAAGCCCUCUUCCCAAGCUCUGUUCCCACUUUGAGUGCACAGGAUGGAGGAUGCUCAGCAGCAUGGGAAGUGCUCGUGAGGGCUCCAAACCCAGCGCACACACAGGAGACAAAUCCAAAUUUUUCCCUGGCUCACUUAAGCGCGUGCCUGGUUUGAAGUGAAUAAAUAACACCUGAAAACCUUUACUGUUUAGCCUUGUUUCCAAACAGUGUGCUGGAUCGUGGUGUCUAUUACAGCUUGGUCCUGAG